UUUUCAUUUCUAUUUUACUCAAACGGAGGCUAAACAGUAUCACUUACGAACAAUUGGGACGUGCUGGUUCGAGGCUAAGGUAUUUCGGAGAGUUCUUAGUUUAUGCUGGAUUGGCAUCCAUUGAUGCCCACCUGACGCUGCUCUGCAGGCUGAUCAGGCUUGUAUUCUUUACCUUUUCUUUUAAUAAAUUUUACUUCUAUCAAAAAAAAAAAAAAAAACCACACACACCUAUGAAUUGAGCAGCGAUAGUGGAUUCAUCUUGAUGAAUAGGUUAGCUCCUAUUCCAGUUUCACACGAAAGGCCACAACUAGAUGAUAUGACACGAGGAUAUGAGGAUCACUCACAGCCACAAUUGGAAGCAUUGGAGAUGUGUUCAGGUCACAACAAGGAACAUUAUUUUCUCGCAUACUCUUCUGGCAGCACCAGUCCAUCUAUUGUAUUCAUUAAGCUAUACGGCUAGAAUUCAGUUCAGACGCAGAAAGAAUCUACCUGUAUAGUCAGAGGCAUAUAUUACAAACAAGAUCAAUGAACUCAUCCUCAAAUUUGUGAGAUUUAGAGUGAAACAUGUAUUCUGUGAGGCAAAUUGAAUAGCAGACUACUUCGCUACAAAUAAUGCAAAUGUCCAUGGUAACCUCCUUCUAAAGCAUACAACCUCUCUUGUAGAGAUGGAUGCUUUAGGACGGUAUGAUGAGCCAUUUAUUCAAUACAUUUUAACUCGGUACAUUACGGUGCGAACAUCAUUUUUGUCCACACAAUGUGACUAGGACAACUUAGUAACCGGUUAUGCAAUUUUUAUUGUUUCUUUUAGUUUUUCAGUCAAACAUACAGGUGACACCUGUAUGGAUGACAAAAUUGCUAUAUGGAUGACAAGCAGCUGUAUGGAUGACAAAAUUGCUAUAUGGAUGACAAAAUUCAAGAAACAAUAAGAGCAAUUUUUUGUUGACUUUAGACUAAUCGGUAGCAAAUUUCCACUUGAGUCCACGUGGAAGAUUGUGUGGUGUACAAGCAAAUGUACCAUAAUACACCAUACCGAAAAUGUACCAAAUAACAACUAUGAGGUAUGAUGUCAUUAGAAAUCAAAUUUUAAUAAAUCUAGUAGGGUUCUCCCAAACAACAGCUUGCUCUGUGCAAACAAAACAAAAUGAAAUAAACUGACAAAGCCAGUUUUUGACAACUUCAAUAUUUUCCCACAUAUAUAUUUAAUAUGUGGGAAAAUAUUAAAAACAAUAUGAAGCCUAAUUCUUCUCUGUGGAGGGACCAAAACCUAAAUUUUGUUUUCCGGCAAAAACCAUCAAUGUCAGGAAAAUUUGUUCAUACAAAAUAUAAAUGUUUGUCAUUACAAGAACCAGAUUACAUUACUGAAUCUCAAUAGAUUUCAUAAAUUAAAUACAUGCCAAAAAAACACAUACCAUACUUUGAAGAAAAAAUCAUGCUAGAUACUGGGAACAAAGUAAUUGGCAAUCAGUAAUUGGCAUCCAUCAUAUUUCCCUUUAGUUCUUUAGUUAUAAGUUCAGCGUCUACGGCAAGGUUUUCCCCUUUUACGUAAGGAUUCAAGUGUGCUUACAUGGAAGAGGCGACAAGGACCUUGUCUUGCAAAUUCUUCAACUGUCCAUAACUUCUAAUCUCCUCUUCCAGCCCGCUAUAUAUCUUUUAUAAUGAAUAAAGAAGGAAAAGGAAGUGGUUAGUACUUUUCGCAAGUUCUUGAGGAAUAACAAUGUUCGAUCAGACAAGUGAAAGUAUUAAUACUUGCAACCUGUACUCUCAUCUUGAACUAAACAUAACUCUUCUUUCAACAAUCUAUCUUACACAACAUGAACAAAUUCGGCUCCCAACAUGCCAAAUAAUGUUAUUUUGUUCCUUGCCCAAAAACUCUUUGAUGCAUCAGGUCAAUAACUUAAUGUAAUUCUGUUUUUACAAAUUUCUCGCAGCAGUUUUAUGAGUUAUGAAUGAGAAAAUCGAAAUCAAUACUUUAUAGCAUUUUCUUUUCAGGUGCCUAAAUUGACAAAGAGAAAGAGAGAGAAACUCUAGAAAAUGGGCCGGGAGAAGACUGAAGAGAAAUAUAAACAUCGAAGAAAAAAACAAAGAAACCCUAGAAAUUGGGGAGAAGAAAACUAACUGACAGAUGAAUAAUGAAAAUCAACCAUUCGAGUUAUAAUGCAAUCCUUUUAUUUGCAAUCUAUACUCUCGAUUAAAGUUAGACUUGCCCUUAAGGAAAAUUUCUCUUUCCAAAUUAGAUCAAAUUUGAUGCUUCAAUUGAAGAGAAUUUAACAAAGAUUGAAAUUUAAAGGGUUAUUAUUAUAAAUUUAUAUCUAAUAUGGCUUAAAUAGUUAGAUGGCUACAUUUAAUAGCACUAUAGGCAUAUUUGUCUUUUUUCACAAAUAUAUUAAUGGCUAACCAAUGGAUUUAAUGGCAAUAUGGCUAUAUUUAUCUUAUUAGUCAAAAAAUAAAAAAUAAAAAAUAAAAUAAAUAAAUAAAAUAUAAUUUCGUACCUUACUUUCUUCUUUCCUCAAUAUUUACCCAUGUUCCUCAUACAUCAAAUUCAAUCUAUCCUCUAUUCCUUCUCCAAAUAAUGGUUGGAAAAAAACACACACACACACAACCUUCACUAUAAUAGGCUAUGUGAAUAUAUGCACGCAAUAGUACAAAUUACAAUACUGUGCGUCUUCCAUUUUUCUUUUAGUACAGGUUAGAAAUAAAAUUAUAUAGGCUUUAUAACCAUAUAACAUGAUUAAGUUGCGUAAUUAUAGCGUGAUUUUUGAGAUUAGUUUAAUCUUAUUUAUCAAUUAUACUAAAAAAUUAUUUGAAAAGCUGGCCUUCGGCUAGGGCUGGAAACGGGUCGGAUUCGGAUCGGAUGUAAAUAAAUCUAAAGCUGGAUCCGAAUUCGAUUCGAGUUUAAAUAAUUAAUCCGAAUCCGAGAUUUAUCCAAAACCCGACUAAAUCCGACAAUUUUCUAUAUAAAAUCUUUAAAAAACAGAUUAAAAUCUGAAUCCGGAUCUGAAUAGGUCUCUUAUUAUAAAUCCGAAUCCGAAUUUUAAUUCGGGUGUAUUCUUAUAUCUGAAUCUGACAUAUUCGGAUUCGAAAUUCGAAUAAAUCCGCAUCCACUUCCACCUCAGGAUAUAAAUUCAAUAGUGUUUUCUGAAAUGAUGUAUAGUCUAGACACAACACCAGAAAAGGCAUUUUCUAACAGCAAAACGUUGUUAGUAUAUUUUUACUAACGGUUUUUCUGCGUUAGCAAAUAGACGUUGGUAUUUAGUAACACGUACUGUUGUAACGGUAAACAAUCGUUAGAAAUUUAUAAGUGAUAAAAAGUGGUGAGAGAUGCAGAUUUAUAGAGGUAAAGGCGGUGGGAGAUUUCUAAGCACACUAGAGUUCUUCUGUAAUUAAAGAAGAAAGUAGAGUUUAGAUCGAGAAGGAAGUUACUUUUUCUACUAACACCCAAACUAUUCACGUGUUAAUCACAUGGGUUGAAUUUGUGUUACUGGAAUGUUACUACUAACACAAAGAAAGUUAGUAUAAUUUUUUAGUUGUUACUAAAUAAAUCAAAAUAUUAUUUAAUUAAUACUAACUAUUUUGAGGCAAUACUAACACUAUAUUGCUGCUACUAGCUUCCUAACAACAAUUUACCGUUAGAAAUAAAAAAGCCAUGUGUUACUAAAACCCAGUUUUGGGGUUAUAUAAACUAUUUUAUUGAUAAGCUUAAAGAAUUACACAAAAGUAGACGACAAACGCGCUACAAAUUGCGCUGCAAGUCCUUUCUUUGGGGAUUACGAAACAUUAGGGAUACACCUAAGUAUAAAUUUUGAGAUUUUUUCCUGAUUUUUGUUGUGAAAGUAGGGACUGGGAAAAGCAGAAGACAUAAUUUAAAUAUAUAUCCCACCAUUUUGUUUUACUAAAACCCGAAGUCCAACAAAUAUUUUUGAUUAGCCAGCAAGUGGACUUUCAUUGUAGCUUAUUACAUGCCUCUUUAUACCAAGUAAAGAUUUGUGUAGAUGAAAUACUUAUUAUAACAAAUCUAUACAUAGAUUUGUCAAUAAACAUGUGGCUCAAAGGUAGCAUCCCUCUCACAAAGUGGAGAUGUUUUGGAUUCGAAACACGUUAGUAGCUGAUUGUUUGAUUAAAAGUUUCCCCACGUAAAUUUAAAAGGGGUAGGGUUCCCCUCAACCUCCCUUACCAAUAAUAAUAAUAAUAAGUAAAAAUAAAAUGUAAAUUACUACUACAAUAAACUUCAAUAAGCACAUAUAUUUUGCAAUCCAAAAUUUUAUCAUAUGCUUCAACUUAAUCUUUCAGUAGUUUUGUUGGGUGCAUUAGUUAUGAAAGAUUAUUUUACUACUGCAGGUUACUAUAUACUAUGUUCUUGAUAAACCCCAUUUUUAUAUUCAAAACAUAAGCCUAGACUCCAAACAAAAAAUGAAUAAAAUCAUAUGAUCAGUCUAAUUCAUGGUUUGAACAUUCAUAAGAUUAAUCAUAGCAUGGUUUUAUUGUCACAAUGAAGUAAAAACAUAAUGGAAAUUUCAAUAAUUGUUUUACAUUAUAUUUAGCUCAAAAUCUCAGUCAAACAUUCAAACAACAAGUAUUUGACGAGAAACCAUUUCAAAAAUUGCAAUCAAUCGUAUUUACCAAAAUAAAAAUAAAAAUUAGUGUUGUAAUAAAACUGUAAAAAUAACAAUUAAACCAAUGACAUACAUUAACAAAACCUUUCCAAGAGACUACACCUAAUUUACACUAUUUAAUAACAUCUAUGCAUCGCACGGGUCUUAUAACUAGUUCUAAUAACACGAGGGAAAUAAUUAUGUUGGGGAAUUCAUUUUUAUUUAUUUGGGAAAAGAGAGUUUUGAAGAGAGAGAAGAGACAAAGAAUAUAUUUUUACCCACAAAUUGAGUUGGCAGAUUAAGCUGACGUGUACAAAGCCACCUAAACUAACACGUCAGGCUGUGGGACUUUUAUGUGGAAACAAGGUGUGGGUAUAGAAUUACUCAUAUUUGGAUUUAGAUAGUUCUUUGGGCUUUAUGAGUAUUGCAAAGGGUAUAUCCCAAAAAGCAGGAUAUGAGAAUUAUAUAAUAUAUAAAAUUAUUUGAACAUUUUAUGAUCACGUAAUUCAAAUCCACGAAGUAAGCCAUAAGUUCAUAAAAGAGAGACCAGCGUGAAUGAGGUACUGUCAAGAGAUUUGAACAUAAGUUUCUAGUCGCAUGCUAGGAAUGUCCAAUUUAAGUGUCACGUGGAACACACAUGUUCCCAGUUGGACACAUGUCCAAGCUGUGUUUUACGUUCAUAAUGUCCGACCUUGACAGUGGAUUUCUAGAAGUCUACGUGCUUCCUAGUUAUUAGGAGAAACUCCACACAUCGACUCACCAAGAGGAAAUAUUGAUUUUGGAGAAUGGAAAGGUUUUGUUAAUUUGUUUCGUGGAGAUAUGGAUUAUGAAAAUAAAGAAUACUAAGAUUUGUUUCAUGAAGUUUAAUAUUAUGAAAUACACAACUCUAAAAACCUAGAUUGUUAUUAUUAUUAUGAAGUUUAAAUUUCAUUCCCUAUUCGCUACAUGGGCUAGACAAAAUGAAAAUCAGUAAAUUGAAUUUUCGCUUAUUAGUGGUGAGACCUGUGAUUUAAAUUUCAAAUGCACACAUUUGACCAAGGGAUACACAAUAAUUUCGAAUGCACACAUUUUAAACGAAGCAACAAAUUUGUCUACAUAACAUCAUCAAUAAGUACAACAAUUUCAACUGUGCAUGAUUGAUAGACGAACUUUGUGUAUCCAACUAAUCAAAAGAUAGAUUUGUAUUGAUUUUCCUUUUUGUGCCUGUAAAUAUUGAUUAUCAAUGUAGACAAGUAACAAGCUAGGGUCGUACCCACCUCAAGGGGGAAUUCUUAGCUCAAACACAAUAGAAAACAAUAGUUAAAGAACACCAUAUGAAUCAACAAAUAAUAUGAGAUUGAUUCUACUUCCUACAGGCAAUAAAUAAAUAAACUAAUAUUUAAACUAAAUUAAGAAGAUGGAUAGAGAUGUAAAGAAGAUCUUAUGAUGAAUAGGGGGAAGAGUUGGUAUCCACAAACUAAACAAUGCACCUCUUACCUAUUCCAAUUAAUCAUUAAUGUCUUUAAUAAUCAAGUAGUCACCUCUCAACUAUUCUACUCAAUUAAAAUGAGAUUCUCUUAUAUAUGCUAUUAAAUAUGCUUCAUUAAUUAAACCUUCACCUCUUAGCUAUUCAAUUUAAUUAACUCAACAUAUUAAUUCAUAAUCAAACCAUCCCAUCUUGGUUAUUCAUUUAAUUACAAAAGGGGUCCAAUAAAAGAGAUUGAUUCUAUAUAUAUGAUAGUCACCUCUCAGCUAUUCCAUCACAUAUCUCUAAUCAAUCUAAUACAACUAUUAUAACUAGGUCUCUCUAUACUAUAACAUUAGUAUUUUAUAAACAUGGAAAACAACAACAUAUAAAUAAUCAUGCUUACUUCAUGUCGCGAAUAGAAAUAAACAAGCAUUAAGAAUUUCGAAUCACAAUGAACAUAAAGAAUAAACAUGGUGCUUUUGCAUUAUCUAGAGUGCUUCAACCAUUCCCCCUAAAGGGAAUUUAGCUACUCAUCCUUGAUAGUGACACCAUGGAAUAAGUAAAUAAAUAACACAACAUUAUAAAGGAAAAUAGAAUGGAUUGAGAAUAAGAAGAUUGAGUUCAAUACAAGAUAAAAAACUAUUAUUAUGAACUAGCUUAAACCCUAGCUACUACUUCUCUUUAUAUGGAGAAUACAAAGCAUAUUACUUGCUCACAAAGUAUACUAGCUCUUCAAGUUAGGUCAAAUUCGUGGCUGCUGUUGUAGGCCUUCUAGAAGCAUCAAUACUUCAUCAAAACCUAAUUCUCUUGGGUCUAAAUUGUAGCCUGGACCAAGACCUUCAGAUAGACAGCUCAUGGGUCAAAAUCAGACUUUUGGAUCUUCAUAUAGAGCUUUUUUAAAAUUGGGCUUCAUUAUAACUUGGAUUGAGCUAGGAUUUGGACCACCCAUCUUGGACGUAAAGUUAAGUCCAUAGGACCAGUCCACGGGGUACCCUCAUCAACUCUGGGGGUGCAAGUAUCAAUACUUCUUCCUUGUGCAAAUAACACUAUUUUAAUGGUUUUUCUUGGCUUUUGGCGGGCUUUAACACAAUAUUCACAUUUUGGCUCAUGAAACCUACACAAAUGACAAGAAAACACUAAUCAAUAGAUAUAACACAAUAAUAUAAAUUAAGUGCUAUGCAAACAAGGUGCUAUUCGAGGGAUAAAUAUACACUUUUAAGGACUUAUCAAUGAUCACAUAACCCAUGUAGAAGGGUAUAUGUCUAUAGUAAAUAUUAAACUGCUUCACACUUUGAAUCGUAAAGAAGAGUACCCUACAUAUAACCUAGCUCAUUCUAUAUGUCAGGGAAAGGAUCACCCGAUUCAACCAGGGAAAUACCCCCUCCCCCCCCCCCCCCACACACACAACAAACAUAAAAGAGAUUUAAUAUUAAAAACUGUUAACAAAACUAAAUUGUGGAUUACUAUAAGCAAUACAUUUAUUUUGGUCACUAUAGAUUUUUAUCAAUUAAUAAAAGGUACCAUAUUCACCAAAAACCAUGAAUGUGGCCAAAUUUACAAUUAAUUCUCGGAUAACAUGAUUUGUCUCCCAAAUUUGGUGACAAACUUCCAUAUAGAUUUGUGUUAAAGAGACCCAUAACAAACUUAUCAGUAGCAGUAUAUCGCCGAUUAUUAUGAUAUUUUGGAUCGUGCAUCACUAUAUAUAUCCCCUAAGUGUUGGAGACAAACUAUCAUUUUACAACUACUAGUCACACAACUCUUUAACAAUGGCUAAGCAUAAGUUGAGGCUUAAAUUCAUUGUUGUUAAUGGUUCAAGGAUAGCAACCUUCAAAGUAAGAGUGAACCUUGAAGAAAUCUUUAAGAAGAAGAUAGCCGAAGCCAAGCUGAAAUUGCAGAAGCUAAAGGAAGAAACACACAUUAUGAAAAUGAAUGAAAUCCUGACUAAGAGCAUGGAGGAGGGACCAGAGGCAAUCAAAUCUUUUAGUUCUGAAGACUUGUUCACCUUUCAAGCUUUUCUAGAUAAGAAGCUUAAAGAAAUUCAAGAUUGAAUCUGUGUCCUUAAACAGACUAAUUGAUUCAUAAUCACCAUUUUUCAUGUGUUAUUUUCAUAACACCUUUCGAGUCGUAGGCUAUUUUGUGGCCUAUAUAUUAAAUAAAUUGUAGUCGUCUUCAUCUGCGACAGUAUUCGAUUCUGUGUAAAAAUAAUUGGUUCACAAUCACCAAUUCUUUAUGUCUUUUUUCCCAAAGUUUAGAUUCGUAUCGUGUCCAUCAUCAGAAUCUAUCUCAAUUGUCAACAACUGAGUCCUAAUAGUAAUAAAUUGUUUUUAUUGUUCUAAAUCUAUGCUUCAAAUCUAUUAAUAAUGUUUGGAUUAUUUAUCUUGUUUCUUCUUUAGAUAUAAGUAAUUUAUUCAAAUCAAAAAUUGAAUAUUGUAAAAUGUAAAUGAUAAAGAGUAGUAAUGAAUACCUAAACUCUCCAAAAACAAAUCCACCAUCUUUUACUGCUAUCUAUGUUUUCAAUUGCUUAAUAAUAAUAAUAAUAAUAAUAAUAAUAAUAAUAAUAAUAAUAAUAAAUGAGAUUAUAAGCAAAAACAUCAACUAUACAUGAAUGAUAAUCAAACAACAUAUGAUUAGAUCUUACGUUUGAUUACUUCUAUGUAUCUCUUCUUUUCUACUUCUGAAACUUCGGUCGUUGCGGCUGCGUGGUGGUGGUAAUGAUCAUCAGAGUUGAAUGCAUUACUAUGAUACCUACAAUGAGACGAAAUUACUCUCACGCAUUAUUUAGAAUGUUAUUAAAAGUUGGGGUCAUUCUGUCAAUUGUAUUUGGUCAUAUCUGAAUAUUGUAAAAAAAUAGAUUUAAUUUGUGUUUAAUCACUUUCUUAAAAUGUAUGAAGCUGGAAACUCUAAUAUGGUAAUAUAUUUCUUAACUUUGGUAGUGCUUAAUCACUUUUUUAAAAUGGAUGAACCUCGGUCUUUACCAAAAUAGGAAAAACAAAAUCCAUGAACCUAGAAAUUCUAAUAGGGGAACAAAAUUCUUAUCUUAUUUUGGGUUUUAUCUUUAAUAAAACUAAUAGAUUUUGAUUCUCUAACACCUAAGAGUUGGGUAUAGUGAGAUAGUCCCAUAUUGCCUAGGAGUAUUGGUAGUAUAUAAAGCUUAUGACUAUAACUAAUGUCAAGGUCUUUUGGGGGGAAAUCCAGAUAGGUGGACCUCGAUAAAAAACCCUUUAAUGUUGGACAUUAGCGAGCAGUAUGGUAAAGAACAAACACUAUGACAAGUUGACAACAAACAAUAUGACAUGUGGCGUGAAGGAUGGCAAAGAAAAAACAAUAUGACAAGUUGACAACAAACAUUCUAUAUUUCUAGGAUUGUAUAAGAAAAUUACUUAUAUGAAAAUGGCUGAGAAUACCUCUUAAGGAAUACAAAACCGAGUUCAGGAAACCCUUUGAAAAAGAUAAGCGUUAUUAUGAAACAACGAGUCACAAAAGGCUUUUGUCAAUGUUUUAUUGUACAAUUGGUCCCUGUCAACAAUAUGAUGAACAACACACAAGCCUCUCCCCUAAUCUGAUCAAAUAGCCGAGGCUUCUCAAAAAGCAAAAUCUGACACAAUCUCAGAGAAGACAAGCUGAUUAAACACCUACAACCACAAGUUAUAUACGUCUUUACACAUAUAGCUGCAAUAACGCAUACAAGCCCUUAGACACGAACAUACUCCAACUCAGAGACACAACCCACGGGUAUAUCCCCAAAAAGUGGGACAUGACAAUUAAAUAAUAUAUAAAAUUAUUUAAACAUUAGAAAUCAUGGCAUAUACCAUAUAUUCAUAAUUCAUUACGAUUACGUAAUUCAAAUAUACAAAGUAAGCCAUAAGUUCAUAAAAGAGAGACCAACAUGAAUGAAAUAUUGUUCAAGAGAUUUUAUUAUCUCACACGUUAGGACUUCUGAUCAGAGCCAUAUCUAAAACAGUUUUCCAGUCGCAUCCUAACAAUGUCCAACUUAAGUGGCACGUGGGACAUGCACGUGACGUGUUGGACACAUGUCCAAGCCGUGUCUACGUCCAUAGUGUCUGACCUUGACACAAUGAAAUUCUGGAAGUGUCAAUACUUCCUAGUUAUUAGGAGAAACUCAACGUAUACGGUCAUCAAGAGGAAAUAUUUAUUCUGGAGAAUGGAAAGGUUUUGUAUCAUGGAGAUAUGUAUUAUUAAAACAGAAAAUACUAAGAUUUUGAGUUUUUAAUAAAAUAACAAAGACCAGAAUUUUAAACUUCACUCCCUACUCGUUACAUGGAUUAUACAAAAUGAAAAUCACUAAAAUAUUUUCGAUAACUAUUGGUGAGACUUGUGAUUUUAAUUUCAAAUGCUCACAUUUGAGUAAGUGGUACACAAUUACACAUACAUAGUUCAAAAUCUGCAAGGAUCAACAUAGUUUUUACUAAUUUGGAAUAAGUCAUAUUAUUGGGUCGGAUGAACGAGGGGGGCAAUUUUAUUGGCAUAACAUCACCAAUAAUUACAAUAACUUUAACUGUGCAUGAUCCCAUAAAGCCAUGUAGAAGUGAAUAUGGCUAUAGUAAAUAACUUAAUAUAAAACUGCUCCACACUUCAAACAAAUUGAGAACCUUUUUUUUUUUUUUUUUUGGGUGAACAAAUUGAGAUCCUAUCAUAUCGAAAGGAUCAUAAGAAGAGUACCCUACCAUCUCGCUCAUUAAUUUCUAACCUCCCCCCCCCCCCCCCCCCCCCCAAAAAAAAAAAAAAAAAAAAAAAAAAAGAGAUAAUCAAAACAAGUAUACCUCGUACAAAAAAAGAGAAUUAAUUCUUACCAAAACUGAAUUUUAGAUUACAAUACACGAUACAUUUCUUUUGGUCACUAUUGAUUUUUAUCAAUUAAUAAACAAUACCAUAUUUCUCAAAAACUGUGAAUGUGUCCAAGUUUACAAUUAAUUCUCGGAAACAUGAUUUGUUUACUAAAUUUGGUGGCAAACUUCCAUAUAGAUUUGUAUCAGAGGGACCCACAACAAACUUACCGGUAGCAGUAUAUCGCGAUUAUUAUGAUAUUUUGGACCGUGCAUCAUCUAUAUAUACCCCCCAAGUGUUGGAGACAAACUAUCAUUUUAUUACUACUAGUCACACAACUUUUCAACAAUGCCUGAGGGUAAGUUGAGGGAUGAAUACAUUCUUGAUAAUGAUUCGAGUGCAACCAUCAAGGUAGGAAUGAGCCUUGAAUGCCUUGAAAAAAGGGCAGCCAAACUCAAUCUGGAAGGACAAAAGCUACUUGAAGAAAUACAAAAUCUGAAUAUGAAGGAAAUCCUAGAUAAGCUCAUUCGGGAGGGACCAAAAGCAAUCCAUUCUCUUAGUGCUGAAGACGCCUCCGCCUUUAGAGCUUUUCAAAAUAAUAAGAAGAAAGAAAUUCAAGAACGAAAUCGCGUCCUUAAAAAGACUAAUUGAUUUCUUAUCACCAUGCUUUCAAGUCUUAGGCUAUCUUGUUGCCAAUAUAUUAAAUAAAGUGUAGUCGUCUUCAUUAGCGUCAAUAUUUGAGUACGUCAUGACAAAAAAAUUGGUUUACCAUCACCAAUUUUUUUAUGUGUUUGUCCAAAGGUUCCAGUCUUAUUAGGCUUUUUGAUUGCCUAAAUAAUAAAUUCUAGUCAUGUCAUGUCCAUCAUCAGCGUCAGUGUUUGAGUCUAUUGUAAAACAAUUUGUCACAACUGUCAAAAAUUGAGACUGAUUGUAAUACAUGUUAUUAAUUGUUUUCUAAAUCUUUGCUUCAAAUCUAUGAAUUAUGCUCGGACUGUUUUUCUUUAUUCUUCAUUAUAUUAAUUGUUUGAAAUUAGAAAUUGAAUAUUGUAAAAUAUAAAUGAUAGAGAGUAGUAAUGAAUACCUCAAAUUCUCCAAAAAAAAAAAAAAAAAACCCACCAUCUUUUAUGCUAUCUAUGUUGUUCAAUUGCUUAAUUAUCUGAAUUAUAUAAAAAAAAAAAAAAAAAAAAAAACCCCAUGAGAUUAUAAGCAAAAACAUCACCUACAUGAAUGAUAAUCAAACAAUAAUCUUACGUUUGAUUGCUUCAACAUAUCUCUACUCUUCUUCUUCUCCUUCUUCUGAAACUCUGGUCGUUGCGGCUGCUUGGUGGCGGUAAUGAUCAUCGGAGUUGAAUGCAUUACUAUGAUACCUGCGAUGAGACGAAAUUACCCUCACCAAUUAUUUAGAAUGUAAUUAAAAGUUGGGGCCAUUCUGGAAAUUGUAUUUGGUCAUAUCUAAAUAUGGUAAAAAAUUAGAUUUAAUUUGUGUUUAAUCACUUUCUUAAAAAGUAUGAAGCUGGAAACUCUAUUAUGGUAAAUUGGUAAUAUAUUUCUUAACUUCGGGUAGUGCUUAAUCACUUUUUUUUUUAAAUGCACGAACCUUAGUCUUUACCAAAAGAAAAUAAAAAUGCAUGAACCUGGAAACUCAAAUAGGGUAAUAAAAAUUCUUACCUUAAUUUGUGUGUUUUUGUUUUUUGAUAAAAGUAUAACAUUAUAUUCACACUUAAAAAUAGGAUAUACAUUGCCUGAUCGGCAUGUACUAAGACUGUACACCGUCAGGUAGAAAAACCAAUACAACUCUCAACACCUAGCUCCUGAACAUAACAUGCCACUCAAAGACAGAGAAAAGAAAGAAACAGAGAGACACAAACAUCCCCAAAUAUCCAAUACAGCUGAGUUACCACUGUUCCUGCAGAGCAUAUGCCCACCUGGUCAACAGAUCCUCAAAGCUAAUGUCACCCCUUAAUGCUAAACUAUCUUUAUCGCAGCAUAACCAUGCCCAGGUAGUUGCCUUAAUCAUCGUCAGAAGCUUCGACACAUCACACCUACCUGCCUAGAGGAUCACCUCAUUUCGUAUGCGCCAGAUUACCUUAAUUUGUGUUUUAUCUUUAAUAAAAUUAAUAGAUUUUGAUUCUGUAACACUCAAAAGUUGGGUAUAGUCGCAUAUUGCUUGCCUAGGAAGUGGUUGUAUUGGUAGUAAACUGCUCCACACUUUGAACAAACUAAGAACCUUUUUUUUUUCUCGGUUGAACAAAUUGAGAAGAUAUCAUAUCAAAAGGAUCGUAAGAGUACCCUACCACCUAGCUCAUUCUAUAUGUUGGGGAAACGAUCACCACCAGGGAAAAAUCAAUCCCCUCCCCCCCCCCCCCCCAAUCACCAAAAAAAAAAAAAAAUCAAAAGAAGCAUAACCAUACAUAAAAAAAGAAUUAAUUCUAACCAAAGCUGUGUUGGAAAUGUUUUUGAGUGGUCAAAACAUUUGUAUAUGAAUGAGAAAUUAAAGUCCUAAGUUAUCCACUGAUCAUGGCUAACUUGUGUUAUAGUAGAUAAAUAUGUAUGUAUUUCACAUACAUUAUAUUUGGCCCAACCCAUCCUAAUGGGUGUGUCUUUCCCCAAUAGACACAUACUUUGUAGACAUUCAUUCCCAAUGGGUGUGUCUGUUCCCAACAGAUGUGUACAUUGUAUUGGGUAAAGUGUCUAUUCAAAUAUGUAUUGAAUAGACAUGUGCCUUUUGAGAAGGUGUAUUUCCUACUAUAUAAGUGUGUUUUGUGUUUGUAGUCAAAAACACUUUUUAAUCAAUUGUUCUUUCCAUCUUCUAGUGUCUGUGUUUUGUCAUGAGAGAGUAUAACAAAGAAUUGGUUCGCCGUCUUCUAUGUAUUUGAAGUGCUGCUACGCUAAGAAGGAUAGAUCUUUGUAUCCUGGGAGACAAUCCGCCAUUGAUAAACCGUUCAGCACAUGUACGAGGCGAAUAAUGUCUUAAGGAGAGAGAUUUUAUCUCGACUCAAUCUAAAUCUUGUCCUUCAUCCAUCUAUUCUGGUUUGCAUCAUCUAUUCCCUUUUUAUUUAUUUUAGAACAGUAAUAUAUAUAUCGGUGUAUAUUUUCCUACAAGCUGAAUAGUAGAUUACUAUAAACGAUACGUUUCUUUUGUCACUAUUGAUUUUUUUAUCAAUUAAUAAACAAUACCAUAUUUCUCAAAAACUGUGAAUGUGUCCAAAUUAUCAAUUAAUUCUCGGAAAACAUAACUUGCCUACUACAUUUGGUGACGAACUUCCAUAUAGAUUUGUCCAUAUGAUAUUUUGGACCGAGCAUCAUCUAUAUAUAUACCCCCUAAGUGUUGGAAACAAACUAUCAUUUUACUACUACUAGUCACACAGCUUUUCAACCAUGGCCUAAGGGUAAGUUGGGGGAUGAAUACAUUCUUGAUAAUGAUUCGAGGUGCAACCAUCAAGGUCAGAAUGAGCCUUGGAUGCCUUUGAAAAAGGCUGACACAAUCUCAGAGAAAACAAGUUGAUUAGACACCUACAACCACAAGUUAUAUACGUCAUUACACAUAUAACUGCAAGAGUGCAUACAAGCCCUUAGACAUGAACAAACUCCAACUUAGAGACACGGCCCACGGGUAUAUCCAAAAAAACAGGACAUGACAAUUAAAUAAUAUAUAAAAUUAUUUGAACAUCAGAAUAUAAAGGCCACUUAGUAGUGAUAGAGAAGUUCACUAUAUGGUUGCUUACAUAAAUACAAAAAAAGAGAAAAAAAAAAAAACCCAGCUAAUAAUAUAUCCCCAAGUGCUGAAGAAGAUCACUAAAUCAUAUAGUUCUUAAUCAAAUAUGGUUAUAGGCAAGGUGAAACUUGAAUAUAUUGAUAAAGGUGCUUCAUGGAGAGUCGGCUACCGAAACAGAAUGAGUGGUUUCAAAAAGAAGCUAAGUGAACUUACCACCCUAUGUGGAGUGAUGGCAUGUGCUAUCAUAUGUUUCUUAUGUUCAAGUGCCUGAAAUAUGGCCAAAACAAGCUGAAGCUAGUUGUGUUCUAAGUAGGUGUCAGACUUUCCGUCCUGCAAAGAAACAACGGAAAAUAUCAAUUCUAGAUGAUUUCCUAAUAAAGAGGAUUCAAAAACUGAAGAAUGAACUACAGAAAAAAAAUGGAAGUGACAAAUCUUAUAUAUAAGUUCUUGAAAGAAUGACCCGAUACCUUACGGGGUAUUAGUUAUCAAGACUCAGUUUUGACUUUAAAACUUUUCUGGACAAAAAGAUCCUAGCCAUUCAAAAAAAUUAAAGAUGGAGAUCCUAAGAAACAAUUAGUUUGUCAUUAGCAAUUUUGUAAUGGUUUUAGUUGAAUGUAUGGUUUAGGUAAUACCUAGUUCUCAAACAAUGAUGGAAGUUAUUGCAAAGGAGAAUGUUUUUUUCAGUCCUUGUUCUAUAUUUGGAUUUUGAUAGUUCUUUGGGCUUUAUGAUUAUUGCGAAGGAUAUAUCCCAAAAAAGCAGGACAUAAGAAUUAUAUAAUAUAUAAAAUUAUUUGAAGUUUUGAACAUUUUAUGAUUACGUAAUUCAAAUUUACGAAGUAAGCCAUAAGUUCAUAAAAGAGAGACCAGCGUGAAUGAGGUAUUGUUCAAGAGAUUUUGUUUUCUCAUAGGUUAGGACUUCAGAUAAGAUCCAUGUCCAAAAACCUAGCUUCUAGUCGCAUUCUAGCAAUGUCCAAUUUAAGUGUCACGUGGAACACACAUGUGCCCAAUUGGACACAUGUCCAAGCUGUGUCUACGACUCACCACGAGGAAUAUGGAUUUUGGAGAAUAAAAAGGUUUUGCCAAUUUGUUUCGUGCGGAUAUGGAUUAUGAAAAUAAGAAUACUAUGAUUUGUUUCAUGAAGUUUAAUAUGAUGAAGUGCACAACUCUAAAAAGCUAGAUUUUUUUUUUUUAAUAAAAUAAUGCAUAUAUGAUAGACGGUAAAUGGUGUACCUUUUAAUCAAAAGAUAGAUUUAUAUUGAUUUCCUUCUUGUAUUUGUAAAUAUUGGUUAUCAAUGUAGACAAGUAACAAGCUAGGGUCGUACCCACCUCAAAGGUGAAGAUCUUAGCUCAAACACAAUAAAAAACAAUGGUUAAAGAACACCAAGUGAAUCAACAAAUAAGAGAGAGAUUGAUUCUACUUCUUACAGGCACUAAAUAAAUAAACUAAUACUUAAACUAACUUAAGAAGAUAUAUGGAUAGAGAUGUAAAGAAGAUCUUAUGAUGAAUAGCGGGAAGAGUUGGUAUCCACAAACUAAAUCAUGCAAACAUAUAUGUCAUCCUUUCAUGUUCAAUCUAUAACAAUUAAUUAGUCACCUCUCAGCUCUUCCAAUUAAUCAUCAAUACCUAUAAUAAUCAAGUAGUCACCUUUCAGCUAUUCCACUCAAUUAAAAUGGGAUUCUCUUAUGCAUGCUAUUGAAUAUGCUUCAUUAAUCAAAUCGUCACCUCUCAGCUAUUCAAUUUAAUUAAAUCAACAUAUUAAUUCAUAAUCAAACCGUCACCUCUCGGUUAUUCAAUUUAAUUACAAAAGGGUUCCAAUAAAAAAGAUUGAUUCUAGUAAUAUGAUAGCUAGGUCUCCCUAUACUCUAACAAUAGUAUUUUAAUAACAUGGAUAUCAAUAACAUACAAAUAAUCACACUUACUUCAUGUCGCGAAAUAGAAGUAAACAAGCACUAAGUACUUUGAAUCACAAUGAACAUUAAGAACAACAUGGUGCUUUUGCAUUAUCUAGAGUGCUUCAACCAUUCCCCCUAAGGGAAUUUACCUACUCAUCCUUGAUAAUGACACCAUGGAAUAAAAAUAAAUAACACAACAUCAUAAAGGAAAAGUGAUUGGAUUAAUAUUGAGAAUAAGAAGAUUGAGUUCAAUACAAAAGAAGAACUUGAAAUUUCAAUAAUAAACUUUCUCCUAUUGACUAUGAACUACCUAAACCCUAGCUACUACUUCUUUUAUAUAGUGAAUACAAAGCAUAUGACUUGCUUACCAAGUCUACCAAGUUAGGUCAAAUUCAUGGCUUCUGCUGUUGACCUUCUAGAAGAAGCAAGACUUCAGCAAAACCUAAUUAUCUUAAGCCUAAGUUGUAGCUUGGACCAAGACCUUCAGAUAGACAGCUCAUGGGCCCAAAUCAGACUUCUGGAUCUUCAUGUAGAGUUUUUUUAAGAUUGGGCUUUAAUAAAGGCUUCAAUAGAAUUUCUGACUUGUGGGCUUCAUUAUAACUCGGAUUGGGCUGAGAUUUGGGCCACCCAUCUUGAACAUAAAGUCAAGUCCAUAGGGCCAGUCCGCAGGGUGCCCUCAUCAAUUUUGUGGGUGCAAGUAUCAACUCUCCUUCCUUGUGCAAAUAACAUCCUUGGGUGUUUUUUCUUGGCUUUUGGCGGGCUUUAACACAAUAUUCGCAUUUCGGCUCAUGAAAUCUACACAAAUGACAAGAAAACACUAAUCAAUAGAUAUAACACAAUAAUAUAAGCUAAGUGCUAUGCAAACAAGGUGUUAUCAAGGGAUAAAUAUACACUUUUGAGGACUUAUCAAUAUACCAGAAUUUUAAAAUUCACUCCCUACUCGCUAUAAGGGUUAGAUAAAAUGAAAAUCAGUAAACUUGAAUUUUCGCUAAUUAGUGGUGAGACCUGUGAUUUAAAUUUCAAAGGCACGCAUUUGACCAAGGGAUACACAAUCAUUUCAAAUGCACACAUUUCAAAUGGAGCAACAAAUUUAUCUGCAUAACAUCACCAAUAAUUACAAUAAUUUUAACUGUGCAUGAUCCGAUAAACCCAUGUAAAAGGGUAUAUGACUAUAGUAAAUAUUAAACUGCUCUACACUUUGAAUCGUAAGAAGAGUACCCUACAACCUAUCUCAUUCUAUAUGUCAGGGAAAGGAUCACCCGAUUCAACCAGGAAAAUUACCCCCCCCCCCCCCACACACACACAACAAACAUAAAAGAGAAUGGUUGCUAAAUUGUGGAUUACUAUAAGCAAUAUAUUUCUUUUGGUCACUAUAGAUUUUUAUUAAUUAAUAAAUGGCACCAUAUUCACCAAAAACCGUGAAUGUGGCCAAAUUUACAAUUAAUUUUCGAAUAACAUGAUUUGUCUCCCAAAUUUGGUGACAAACUUCCAUAUAGAUUUGUGUCAGAGGGACCCACAAUAAACUUAUCGGUAGCAGUAUAUCGCCGAUUAUUAUGGUAUUUUGGACCGUGCAUCACUAUAUAUACCCCCAAGUGUUGGAGACAAACUAUCAUUUUACAACUACUAGUCACACAACUCUUCAACAAUGGCUAAACAUAAGUUGAGGCUUAAAUUCAUUGUUGUUAAUGGUUCAAGGAGAGCAACCUUCAAAGGAAGAGUGAACCUAGAAGAAAUCCUUAAGAAGAAGAUAGCCGAAGUCGAGAUGAAAUUGCAGAAACUAAAGGAAGAAACACACAUUAUGAAAAUGAAUGAAAUCCUUACUAAGAGCAUAGAGGAGGGACCAGAAGCAAUCAAAUCUUUUAGUUCUGAAGACUUGUUCGCUUUUCAAGAUUUUCUAGAUAAGAAGCUUAAAGAAAUUCAAGACCGAAUUUGCGUUCUUAAACAGACUAAUUGAUUCAUAAUCACCAUUUUUCAUGUGUUAUUUCCAUAACAUCUUUUGAGUCGUAGGCUAUGUUGUUGCCUAUAUAUUAAAUAAAUUGUAGUCGUCUUUAUCAGCGUCAGUAUUCGAUUCUGUGUAAAAAAAAAUUGGUUCACAAUCACCAAUUUUUUAUGUCUUUUUUUUCCAAAGUUUGGAGUCAUAUCGUGUCCAUCAUCAGAAUCCAUCUCAAUUGUUAACAACUGAGACCUGAUAGUAAUAAAUUAUUUUUAUUGUUUUAAAUCUAUGUUUCAAAUCUAUGAAUAUUGUUUGGAUUAUUUAUCUUGUUUCUUCUUUAGAUAUAAGUAAUUGUUUCAAAUCAGAAAUUAAAUAUUGUAAAAUGUAAAUGAUAAAGAGUAGUAUUAAAUACCUCAAAUUCUCCAAAAAAAAAAACCACCAUCUUUUACUGUUAUCUAUGUUUUUCAAUUGAUUAAUCAUCUGAAAGUAAAACACACACACACACAUGAGAUUAUAAGCAAAAGCAUCAACUGCAUGAAGAUAAUCGAACAACAUAUGAUUAGAUCUUGCGUUUGAUUACUUCAACAUAUCUCUUCUAUUCUUCUUUUUCUGAAACUCUGGUCGUUGCGACUGCAUGGUGGUGGGAAUGAUCAUCGGAGCAGAUCUUACAUUUUAUUUAUAAUGUUAUUAAAAGUUGUGGCCAUUCUGUCAAUUGAAUUUGGUCAUAUCUGAAUAUGGUAAAAAAUUAGAUAUAAUUUGUGUUUAAUCACUUUCUUAAAAUGUAUAAAGCUCAAAACUCUAAUAUGGUAAUAUAUUUCUCAACUUUAGUAGUGCUUAAUCACUUUUUUUAAAUGCAUGAACCUUAGUCUUUGCAAAAAAACAUAAAAAAAUAAAAAUGCAUGAACCUGAAAAUUCAAAUAGGAUAAUAAAAUUCUUACCUUAAUUUGUGUUUUAUCUCUUUAAUAAAAUUAAUAUUUAAUAGAUUUUGAUUUUGUAACACUCAAGAGUUGGGUAUAGUCCUAUAACACCUAGGAAGUGGUUGUAUUAGUACUUAGUAUUGCAUACAGAGUUUAACCAUACUGUAACUAAUAUCAAGGCCUUUUGGGUGAAACCCAGAUAACCUUCUACUAUUCAACAUUAGUGAGUACAAACUCAUAGUCAGGGGAGUAUUUUUUUUUUUUUUUUGUUAAACCGAAAACAAAUUCUAUUGAUAAAAGAUGAAUUACAUAAAGCUAGAGGACAAGCGCGCUACAACCUGUGCUACAAGCCCUUUCUGAAUACCGAAACCAAUCCUACGAAAUACAUAUUCAUUGGAACCCGUCGUCAUCAUAUUGCUAUUCAUCACCUUCUGUACCCUCCAGAGAAGUUCAACUAAUUCUGGUGCUAGAAACCCAAAAGUGUCAAAAACAAAAGGAAUAAAACAAUGUUGGUACGCUGCACAUGCUCCAUCGUGUUUCUGUACCUUAGCUGCAGCUGCAUUAAUGGUUGUCUGACCCACUUCGAAAUUUCCAUUACUAAACCCCACCAUCGGAGAUGCUCCUGUGAUGUCAACACAUACAUGUUUCCCUUCUAACUUACUGUAUAUCAAAACAUCAGCUGGGCGUAGUGUUGAUCUGCCUUCUUCUGACGGGUCUGUAAGAAAAUUAAUCGGAGCCUCUUUCUUUACCUGUAUUUUUGCUCGCCAUACCACAUCAUACAGUAUAUCACGCACAUGAUCGUGUCUGUAUUUAAAACCGGGGUAAUACUUACAGUGUACAAGAUGAUCCCCAAAACCGUCCAGUCGACUCUUCUUACAUACAGGAUAUAAGUCCCCAUAUGUAGAUAACGGGAUCAUGAGACGGUACCGGAGAAUGACACGAUACUCCAUUGUUGUCAUGCGUUGUUCUAACCCUUCCAUAGGAAUAGCAAUAAGGAAGUUCUUGGCAUGUUUGGUCUGUAAGCAUUCUAUCACAGCCCUCUGACGUGUAGACAAAUCAAAAUCCCUGUCAAUACCAAUAUGAAAUUUUAGAUUAACCUCUCAAAAAAUACACCUACUCAUCAGCAUGCAAUUGCUUACUGCACCGUCAGUUUCAUAUCAAACCCAGAAAAAAACACGAAAGAUAAAUACCCCCUCCCAUAUAUCUAUACUACUUUAUAAAGGCGCCUCAUUCCCGAGGCGCGCACGCAACCUGACGUGUCANNNNNNNNNNNNNNNNNNNNNNNNNNNNNNNNNNNNNNNNNNNNNNNNNNNNNNNNNNNNNNNNNNNNNNNNNNNNNNNNNNNNNNNNNNNNNNNNNNNNAAUCGUAAGUGGUUCCUAAAAGAAGAAAGUUGUUUAUAAAUAUAAAAAAUCUACUGAGUUUGUUAAAAGAGAAAAAAACAACCUGUAAGAAAAAAAAAUGUUUUUAUAUAAUAGUUAUAAACCCAAAUAAACAUUCAAACAAAAAAAAAAUUAUCUCUUAUUUUGUUGGGCAUAAAUAAGUCCAUUAUUUCUCUACUUAUUGGCUAUUUUUUUGUUCGCAAAUACGCGUGCACAUUCACAUAGUACAUUAAAACAGGAAGAAAGAAAACAACAUUCAGUCCACAGCAGAGAGCCUGACAAAGGAGAAAGACUGGGGCAGCAUCUCACUUGAUUGACCAUUUGACCUACUCCCUUCUAUAAAAAAACAACAGCCAUCAAGUGGCUGCUGUCACCACACGUCAGAGCACAGCAUAACACCUGCAAUUAAAAGCCUGUUGCAGUCACAAUAUGCUCCCAAUUUACCACCCUGGAAAAUUCUACACUAACAAAUACAUUAGUGAACCAUUCAUUGUUUAGUUGAAAAUUUAGCAGCAAUAUUGGCCUCAUGAUCUAGCUUCAAGACCAUAACAUAUUGUGGCAGUCUGUGACCAGCUUUCUAAGCUUCUCCCUACCUGGGUUUAGAAUCGAGAGUCGAGACGAUUCAUGUCACUGAUACAAAACAUUCAGUUUCCAGUUCUCAGUCCCUCACCUUGUUGUGCAACAGAAGCUUUAACCCAAGGAUUGGUUGUAAUACCGAUAAUCUAGAUAAUAGCAAAUACCAGAGAAAGUAAUCGAAAAACACAAUCACACACAAUAAUACCAAUAUUAAUGUGGUUCGGCAAACCCGCCUACUCCACCCGGCAACCGAUCAAGAAGAUUAUAUUAAUCAGAGAAAAGAAACAACCUAAUUACAAAUCUAUAAUUCCUUGUCUCUUUUUCUUUCACACACUAGAACCUAAGAAACCCUAUUAUGACAACCCUCAUAAAUUUGUCUCUCCUUAUCUAGUAAUGCUUUCACCUUUGGUUCACUCUUUCUUCUUCUUACCACCCCUUUACAAUAGCCAACUAGCUGAGUAUAUAUAAUACCCAAGAGUUCCUAAUCCAUACAAGGAUUCUAAUUGAAUAACAAUACCAAUUAUCAAUUAGAAUACCAAGUACUUAUGGGAGUAGAAUUCCUACCCACAUUGUUUCUAGAAACAAACAUAAGGUAUGAUCCUAUAGACCUCACUUAAUAUAAUCUAUGAUCCUGCGCAUUGCGAGCCAAUACACAACAAUCUCCACCUUGGCGAGCCAAUGAACUUGAUUAUUGUUGACUCCAUCCGCGCCCGUGAAACCUUCUUGAUCCAUGUUGCCGCCUCCACCCUUUUGGGUGCCCAAUCAAUUAUGAUUGACCGAAAGUUUGAGAUACCCUCAAACUUGCCCACAAGAAUCCACUUGCUGACCAUCUUUCCCUUUCUUGAGUUCCAUCCUUCUGCAGCCACCUUGUUCAUUACAGAACCCUGUGAUUUAAACAUCACUUUGCCUACCUUAGGACCAACUCUAGAUCUUACUAUUGUUUGACCCAAUAGUAUAUACAAGCCACUACUAUUCGCGACUCCUUUCAUGAUCACAUUGGAAUCUCUACAAACCUCUACAACUCCACCUUUGCCAGUGAACUUGUAACCCAAAGAAUCUAACUUGGAAAGAGAAAUUAGUUCUCUUUGCAAACUCGACACAUGUCGAACACCUUCAAGAGUAUGUAUCCUCCCGUCAUACAUCUUGAUGUGAAUAUUACCGACUCCCACUAUCGACUUCUUGGAGCCAUCACAUAUCGACAUCCAACCACCCUCACAUCUUUCAUACUUGUCGAACCAUGACCUAUGUGAACAAACAUGUUUUGUGGCACCGCUAUCAUGUACCCAUUCCCGAUGUAAAUUUUCUUCUUGAGUAGUCACCAAGAGUAAUUCAUCAUCAAACUCCACUUGAUUAGCAUGUCCGCCAGAAUUAGCAAUAUGCUUGCCUUUCCCUGACCUGGAGCUAUUUGCCAAAACCGCUCCACCCUUUUCCUCACAAUCCCGUUUAAAGUGCCUUGUUUUUCCGCACUUCCAACAUUCUAUGUGAGCCUUGUUACUCUUGUUAAAUCCUUUCCGUGAUCCCCCAUUAAUCACCAAACCCUCACCAUGAGAUUUAUCGUCUCUGCCUUUAUUUCUGAUUUCAUGAGAUAAAAGAGCACUGACAACCUCAUCCAAUUCCAGAGUUUCCUUUCCAUAGAGCAACGUGGUGAUAAUAUGCUCAUAGGAUUGGGGCAUGGAGUUUAGAAGUAGAUGUGUUUUAUCUUCAUCCUUUAACUUCACUCCAACAUGAACCAAUUCAGAAAGCAUGCUAUUGAAGACAUUAAAAUGUUCAUUAAUACAUGUACCUUCUGCCAUCCUCAACCUGUAAAGUUGCUGCUUGUGGUACAAUCAAUUUGAUAACGACUUAGUCAUAUACAAACUUUCAAGCUUUAACCAAAGUUUUACCGAAGAACUUUGUGUGAGAACGUUUGACAAGACCUCCUUCGUUAAACACAAUCGAAUCGCACUAGUAGCCUUCAACUCAAAUUCUUCCCAAUCAUCAUCUGACAUAUCCGCCGGUUUUCCCUUUAAUGCUUUGUGUAGCCCGGAUUGUACCAAGAGAUCUUGGACUUGUACUUUCCACAAACCAAAAUUCAUCUUUCCAUCGAACUUCUCUACAUCAAACUUCAAACCUGAAUUUGAAACCCUUUGAGCCAUCUCGAAAAUCCCUACAACCUAGAACCUUGCUUUGAUACCACUUGUUGUGCAACGGAAGCUUUAACCCCAAGGAUUGAUUGUAAUACCGAUAAUCUAGAUAAUAGCAAAUAACAGAGAAAGUAAUCGAAAAACACAAUCACACACAAUAACACCAAUAUUAACGUGGUUCGGCAAACCCGCUUACUCCACCCGGCAACCGAUCAAGAAGAUUAUAUUAAUCAGAGAAAAGAAACAACUUAAUUACAAAUCUAUAAUUCCUUGUCUCCUUUUCUCUCACACACUAGAACCUGAAAAACCCUGUUAUGAAAACCCUCAUAAAUUUGUCUCUCCCUAUCUAGUAAUGCUUUCACCUUUGGUUCAUUCUUUCUUCUUCUUACCACCCCUUUACAAUAGCCAAGUAGUUGAGUAUAUAUAAUACCCAAGAGUUCCUAAUCCAUACAAGGAUUCUAAUUGAAUAACAAUACCAAUUACCAAUUAGAAUACCAAGUACUUAUGGGAGUAGAAUUCCUACCUACAUUGUUUCUAGAAACAAACAUAAGGUAUGAUUCUAUAGACCUCACUUAAUAUAAGCUAUAAUCCUGUGCAAUGCGAGCCAAUACACAACACACCUGACAUUUGUCACAGCCAGGGGCUCAAUUCUGUAUGAAACUAACUGGUAUUGGUUUAUUUCAGCACUAUGUAAAAUGGUCACGGUAACGAUUGCAGUUGUGGUUAUAUAGAAUGAACUCCAUACAAAUAUACGAUUUUUUUUAAUUUAUUUAUUUUUUGAUAACCUCAAAUAUGAGAUUGAUAGGUUAUCAAAAAAAAAAAAAUAAUAUGAGAUUGAUAUAUUUCCAUUGUUUGCAAUAGCUGAGUGGUCUUAACAGAGAAAGCUAAAUGCCAAUAUUGACAAAUAACAAGUCCAGCACAGUAUAUCUAAUGGGUAACCAUGUCAGUAACAAUCAACAGAGAUAUAGUCAAAACUCAAAACUUAGACAACCUUAACAUACAAAUUGAUUGGAAGAUGGAAAAAAAAAAAAAAAAAAAAAAACAUCACAAAGAUAUAUUGAUCAUAUUAGUCUUCAUUUUAAGCUUCCAUCUUCUCUGUGUCAAUGACAUUUCUGAAUUUAUUGAGAACUGUUGGCGAGACUAGACUUCCUAUAUAAGUGUAUGCUCUAUAUAAUCUAAACUGAGAUGUGUACACAUUUCUGAAUGAGUAGGUUUCAGGGUUAUAGCGAAUAUAAAUUCCUGCUCGUUUUUAUUAUUAUAGAUUCUCCAUUGUGAGGCACCAACUAAACGUAACCAAGAAAACGAUCCAGGCAUCUCAGUUCAUCCAAGCACACAUUGUUUUGUUCAGGAUUCAACUACACCAUAUUCUUUCAGCUGCCAGAAGUGAGCAUUUAUAUUCAAUAUCAAUUGCAGGCUCUGGUAUCUCUUGGAAAAGCUCAUCUUUCAUAUCGAAGGAAACAAUUCCGUACGAGCCAAAGGAUCUAGAAGCUAACCAAUGAAGAGCUCCAUUAACAAGUACACUAGGGUUGUAUGGAAAUCUCAUCCCAUACAAUCAAUCUGGUAGAAUUCUACAAGUAGAGUUUGUUCUUAGAGUAUACACGCGGACUUGUGACUGAAACCCUUCUGAUUCUGAAUUCUUCUUCUCAAAAGACCAAACAAUUCUUAUCACCUUCUACUCAUUAGUACCUUGAUGAAAACCAAACCAAAAAAUCGCCUCAGUGAAAUGAGAUGGAAGAGGUGAACAAGGGAUGCUAAUGUGGUCUCGGAUGAUUGGGUUCCAUAUAUACACAUUCAAGUAAAUGUCUCUCAAAGCGUAGCAACCCAUUAGAGCAAUCCCAAUGGGAGGGCAGUUUGGUGCCCUCCACAUAGGUGCCACAUGAGCAAAACGACCUUCAAAAUCACUCUCUCUCCAUGGUAGUCAAAACCCCCUGCGAAGUGGUGCCAAUGGGAAAAUUUGAAAAUGUCAGUUUACAAAAAUUAAAUGGCUUAUAAGACGGAACUUUGAGUUCCGGUUACCAAAUUUUGUAAGUGUUAUAAGACGGAACUUCGAGUUCCUGAAGAGUUAGUCUAUAAGACAGAACUUCAAGUUCCAUAUAAGAUAUAAAGUGUAUAAGACGGAACUGUGUGUUCCGAAAAAGUAUUAAACCGGAACACGGUGUUCUGUCUUAUGCAAUUAACAUAUAAAGUGUAUAAGACGGAACUGUGUGUUCCGAAAAAGUGUUAAACCGGAACACGGUGUUCCGUCUUAUGCAAUUAACAUGGCAUUUUAGAUGGCACUCUACUCCCCUCUCAAAUGCCAUUGGAACUUCUAUCCACCGUUGAAUGUUUGACCCACCGUUCCAUUGGCGAAGGAAUUUUAGCUGAGAGGGCAUUUCAUACUACCGCCCUUCUCAAAUGCCCUCCCAUUGGGAUUGCUCUUACAAAUAGCAACAAUUACGUAAUCAUAAACCUAGCAUUUUCACAAGGCAAUUUAAACAUUUUUGCAUCGUCAAUUGCUCUAUAAUCAGCAGCAUAAUAACAUUGAAGUUUUCUAGAUUCUUGAUUUAUAAACAAAAUACAGGGUGAGAAUAGGUACUUGGCUGGUAGCCUUGCCAAAAUCUCCAUCAUCACCUCUCUUUUUUUUUUUCAUUUUUGUUUCUCUUACCUCUAUUGGAACUCUGGUAGUCUGACUGUUACCAUUUUUUUUUUCCUGUAGAACAAUAGUAUCACUACAAAGAUUUAUAUAGGUUUUAAUUGUAUUCUAAACAACAAACCUAUUUAAAGUGGGAGAUCACUGUACAGUAUUUAUUGCAGAAUUCGGACAAACGAGGGCGUGCCAGACCCAUCCCACAUAUCUAUGAAAUCCUGCUCUAAAAGCACUACUAUCACAAUUAGUUUUACAGAUAACAGCUGCUAGCUCCACCUGUGACUGAGCAAAAUUGAAGCACAUAGCUAAUUUUGCCUUUGCAUUAUUCAUCACAAUAGAGUUUCUCAUCUGCCAUAAAACUACCACACCACUCACCACUGCUUCUGCCUAAAGAUAAUUUAGGAAGGGGCGGGGGAACCCGUCCUUGGAAGACUAUAUAGACUGCUGUAAAUCAUACAUAGGUUUAGUACUUUGGAAUGUCUGGCACACGCAAGUCCAAAAUAGUUGAGCCAAGGAACACUGCCAGAUUACAUGGGUGGUAGACUCUUCACUGCAACAAAACCUGCAACACGAAGCAAGGGAGACCCCACUGUUGAUGUUUCAAAUUCAAUAAUGUCGUACCGUCAAAAGUCAAGUAAUGCUUAGAGGAGAAAAAUAGUCACAUGCAGCAGAGAAAACUUUGAUUGUAGUUUUUUCCUUUUCCAAAUUCAAAUUGAUCAACUUCAUUUACAAGCCAUUUUUCAUUUUUAUUUUAGUCAAAAGGAGGCUAAGCAGUAUCACUUAGAAUUAGAAACAACCACACACACAUUCAUCUUGAUAAAUAGUUUAGCUCCUAUUAUAAUUCCAAAGGAAAGGCCACGACUGGAUGAAAAACGGUAUCACAAACAGCCACAGUUGGAGGCAUUGGAGAUGCGUUCAGGUCACAACAAGGAAAAUUACUUCUUGCAUACUCUUCUGUCAGCACCAGUCCAACUAUUGCAUUCAUUGAGCUAUUUGCUAUUCAGCUACAAUUCACUUCAACUGCAAAACAUCAUACAAAAGCAGACAAUCUAGAAAAAAUUGGUGACAAACUGGGGGUUAAUUGUGCAAACAAAAUUUUGUGCUCAAUUUUUUCUUAAAACCCCAAAAUACUCCCACAAGUAUAUUACACUUUGUUUUCUUGUUUACCCCCCACAUUUAGAAAAACUUUAUCUUCGAAACUUAGGGUUUAUGUUGAUUACUAUAAUUGGGUUUAGGGUUCUCAACAUUUUGAUGGGGUUUAGGGGUUUUUAUUACUUUUAGGGUUUAGUGUGAACGAUGUUUAGUUUAUUGUUUCCACAAUAAUGGCUUCAAAUCAAAAAAACAAAAAAUAAGAAACAAAGGGAAGAAAGUGAUGCUUGAUCCAGAGAUUAGACAAAUUCAGUUGCAUCGGGGGAGGGAAAUGGGACCACAUUUACAGAAGGAAGAAGAAGAUGAGAGGAAGAAAAAAAAACAGAAGAAAAUCAAGAUGGUAAGCUUACCUUGUCUUCGGUGCUUGUAAUUGUUGCUUGAAAGUUGAAUUGAAGGUGACGUAGUUUGUUGUUUUCUAUUAGAAAGUAAUAAGCACUGUCAGGAAAGCUUGUUCAUACAAAAUAUAAAUGUUGUCAUUACAAGAACCAGAUUACAAUAUUGAAUCCCAAUCCCAAUAGAUUUCAUAAAUUAAAUACAUGCCAAAAUAACGAAUACCAUACAUUGAAGAAAAUAUCUUGCUAGAUACCGGAAACAAAGUAACUGGCAGUAUAUCAUGAUCUUUAGUAUAUUUUGGACCAUGAAUUAAUGUCAACAACAUACCCAAAAUCUUUCAAGAAUCUAUAUAUACCCCCAAGUGCUGAAGACGUCUAACUAAAUCAUAUAACUCUUAUUCUAAUAUGGUUAAGGGCAAGGUGAAACUUGAAUAUAUUGAUUAAGAUGCGUUAAAAAAGAAGUUGAUUAAACUUACCAGCCUAUGUGAAAUACUACCUACAGAAAGAGAAUGAGUAGUUUCAAAAAGAAGCUGAUUGAACUUACCACCCUAUGCGAAGUGAUUGCAUGUGCUAUCAUCUAUGGUACUUAUGUUCAAGCACCUGAAAUAUGGCCAAAUCAAGCUGAAGCUAGUGCCUAGUCGGCUAGUUGUGUUCUAACUAUGUUCCAGAGGUUCAGUCCUGCAGAGAAACAACAGAACAUGUCAAAUCUAGAAGAUUUCUUCAUAAAGAGGAUUCAAAAACUGAAGAAUGAACUGCAGAAUUUUUUUUUGAAGAAAAGCAACGUUAUGAACUGACAAAUCUUAUGCAUAAAUUCUUGAAAGAGGGACCUGAUGCCUUACGGGUAUUAGUUAUCAAGACUCAAUUGACUAUGAGGGUUUUCUGGACGAAAAGAUCCUAGACAUUCAACAAAUGAUAAGAAAUAAUAAGUAGUUUGUCAUUUGCAAUUGUGUAAUGGUUUUUGUUGAAUAUUGUGGUUUAGGAAAUCUCUAGUUGUCAAACCAUCAUGGAACUUAUUGUGAGGGACAAUUUUUUUCCAAUCUUUGCUCUUUGGAUUCUGCUUUAAAUCUACUGAUGGUUCUUCAAGCUCUAUAUGUUUGUGUUUCACUAUUUAGAUUUAUUGAAAGUGGAAAAUCAAUAUGGAAAAGAUAAGAAAACCAAAAACACUACACGCAACUUGCAUGAAAGAUGGCAAAGAACAAACAAGUUGACAACACACGUUCUGUAUUUUUAGAAUUGUGUAUAGGUAUUUACAUGGAAAUGGCUGAGAAUACCUCUCAAGGAAUACAAAACAAAGUUCAGGAACCCUUUGAAAUAGAUGAGGCUCAUUAUGAAUAAACGGGUCAUAAAAAAUUAUCGAUGUUUUUAUUGUACAAUUGGUCCCUGUCAACAAUAUGAUGAACAACACACAGGCCUCUCCCCUAAUCUGAUCAAACAGCAGAGGCUUCUCAAAAAGAAAAAUCUGAAACAAUCUCAGAGAAGACAAGCUGAUUAGACACCUACAACCACAAGUUAUAUACAUCUUUACACCUAUAGCUGCAAGAGUGCAUGCAAGCCCUUAGACACGAACAGAAUCCAACUCAGAGACACGGCCCACGGGUAAAUCCCAAAAAAGCAGGACAUGACAAUUAAAUAAUAUAUAAAAUUAUUUGAACAUUAGAAAUCAUGGCAUAUACCAUAUAUUCACAAUUCAUUAUGAUUACGUAAUUCAAAUAUACAAAGUAAGCCAUAAUUUCAUAAAAGAGAGACCAUUGUGAAUGAAAUAUUGUUGAAAAGAUUUUAUUGUCUCAUAAGUUUGGACUUCUGAUCAGAGCCAUAUCUAAAACAGUUUCCAGUCGCAUCCUAGCAAUGUCAAACUUAAGUAGCACGUGGGACAUGCACGUGCCGUGUGGACAGUCAAAGCCAUGUCUACGUCCAUAGUGUCCGACCAACCAAAUCUGACACAGUGAAAUUCUGGAAGUGUCUGUGCUUCCUAGUUAUUAACUAUUAAGAGAAACUCAACACAUAGUCAUCAAGAGGAAAUAUUGAUUUUGGAGAAGGAAAGGUUUUGUAUCGUGGAGAUAUGGAUUAUUAAAACAGAGAAUACAAAGAUUUUGAGUUUUUAAUAAAAUAGCAAAUACCAGAAUUUUAAACUUCACUCCCUACUCGUUACAUGGGUUAGACAAAAAAAAUCAGUAAAAUUGAAUUUUCGAUAACUAUUGGUGAGACCCAUGAUUUUAAUUUCAAAUGUUCACAUUUGAGCAAGGGGUACACAACCACACAUACAUAGUUCAAAAUCUGCGAGGCUUAAACAAAAAAUUGCAACAUACCCAAAAAGACACUAGAACUUAGACCUUUUGCCAGAUUUAUGUUCAGUGAUUACAAAAUAAAAAAAAUGUGGAUUACUAAGUCACGAUAAUUUUCUAUUAGUCACAAUGGAUUAUAGUAAUAGCUCUUACCAAAACAAAAAUGUAUAAAACUAAAUCAACAUAGUUUUUACUAAUUUGAAAUUAGUCACCGUGAAUAUAUACUAUUAAUCUAAUAGAUGACACCGCUAUAAGUUGAUGACAAAUUUGCAAAAAUUAUUGGGUUGGAUGAAAGAAACAACAACUUUAUUGGCAUAACAUCACUAAUAUUUACAAUAAUUUUAACUGUGGAUGAUCCCAUAAAGCCAUGUAGAAGUGAAUAUGGCUAUAGUAAAUAUUAAACUGCUCCACACUUUGAACAAAUUGAGAACCUUUUUUUUUUUUUUUUUGGUUGAACCAAAUUGAGAAUCUAUCAUAUUGGAAGGAUCGUAAGAAGAGUACCCUACCACCUAGCUCACUCUAUACCCCUACCCCCUCCCCCCAACCCCCCACCCCCCACCCCCCCCCAAAAAAAGAGAUAAUCCAAGAGGCAUACCCCAUACAUAAAAAGAGAAUUAAUUCCUACCAAAACUGAAUUGUAGAUUACUAUAAACGAUACAUUUCUUUUGGUCACUAUUGAAUUUUACCAAUUAACAAACAAUACCAUAUUUCGCAAAAACUGUGUAUGUGUCCAAGUUUACAAUUAAUUCUCAGAAACAUGAUUUGCCUACUAAAUUUGGUGACAAACUUCCAUAUAGAUUUGUGUCAGAGGGGCCCAAAACAAACUUAUUGGUAGCAGCAUAUCGCCGAUUAUUAUGAUAUUUUGGACCGUGCAUCAUCUAUAUAUACCCCCCAAGUGUUGGAGACAAACUAUCAUUUUACUACUACUAGUCACACAGGUUUUCAACAAUGCCUAAGGGUAAGUUGAGGGAUGAAUACAUUCUUGAUAAUGAUUCGAGUGCAACCAUCAAGAUAGGAAUGCGCCUUGAAUGCCUUGAAAAAAAGGCAGCCAAACUCAAUCUGGAAGGACAAAAGCUACUUGAAGAAAUACAAAAUCUGAAUAUGAAGGAAAUCCUGGAUAAGCUCAUUCAGGAGGGACCACAAGCAAUCAACUCUCUUAGUGCUGAAGACGCCUUCGCCUUUAGAGCUUAUCAAAAUAAUAAGAAGAAAGAAAUUCAAGAACGAAAGCGCGCCGUUAAAAAGACUAAUUGAUUUAUCAUCACCAUGUUUUCGAGUCUUAGGCUAUCUUGUUGCCUAUAUAAUAAAUAUAUUGUAGUCGUCUUCAUCAGCUUCAAUGUUUGAGUCUAUUGUAAAACAAUUUGUCCCAAUUGUCAACAACUGAGACUGAUUGUAAUACAUGCUUUUUAUGUUUUCUAAAUAUUUGCUUCAAAACUAUGAAUUAUGCUUGGAUUGUUUUUCUUUUUUCUUCUGUAUACUAAUUUUUUGAAAUCAGAAAUUGAAUAUUGUAAAAGUCAGAUAAUAAUGAUUACCUCAAAUUCUCUGAAAACCACCAGAUUUUACUGCUAUCUAUGAUGUUAAUCGCUCAAAUCUGGGAAGAAAAAAACACAUGAGUUAAGCAAAAGCAUCAACGACAUGAUAAUAAAAAAAAAGAUGAUUCGUUCUUACGUUUGAUUACUUCUACAUCUCUUCAGUUCUUCUUCUUAGUCGCUGCAAUACCAUUAAAAUCUGCAACUUAUUCAACUGUCUGAAACUCUAGUCAUUGCGGCUGCGUCGUGGUGGUAGCCAUCGUCGGAGUUUUAUCAAAUUGGGCAAGGCAAUUGCAUUACCAUGAGACCUGCAAGAGACAAAAUUACCCUCACCCAUUAUUUACCAGAUCACCACAAUUUGGGGCGAUUAUGUCCAUUCUCACUAUAUUGCUUUUGUAAUUUGUACUUGGUCACAGAAAUAUGGUAACAAAUUUCUAACCAUAUGGUUGGUAGAAUUAAUUUGUGUUUAAUCACUUUCUUAGAAAGUAUGAAGCUAGAAACUAUAAUAUGGUAACAUCUUUCUUACCUUACGGUAGAAUUAAUUUGUGUUUAAUCACUUUCUUAAACAGCAUGAACCUAGAAAUUCUAAUAGGGAAACUAAAUUCUUACCUUAAUUUAUGUUUUAUCUCUUUCUUAAAUAACAUGAAGUUGGACGCUAGCAAAAAAUCUCUUAACAUUAUGUACUAAGUACAAUACUAAGUAGUACUAGUAACUUCACUCUUGAAAGGCACCAAAUUAUGAGAUAAGUAAGCACUGAAGAGUAAAGAGAAACAUCAUCCCUAACUUUGAGAUUUUAAUGGCCAUUUCAGACUUCAACAAUUAAUCGGCAGCAGUAUAUCACCGAUUACUACGAUAUUUUGGACCGUGCAGCAUCUAUAGUCAUCCCAAGGUUUGUAAGUGUUGGAGACAAACUAUCAUCUUACUACUACUAGUCACACAGCUCUUCAACAAUGCCCAAGCGUAAGUUCAGGGUUGAAUACAUUCUUGCUAAUGGUUCAAGCAGUGCAACCUUCAAGGAAAGAAUGAACCUUGAAGAAUGCCUUGAGCAAAAGCUACAAGAAGAUAUACAAAAUCUGAAAGUGAAGGAAAUCCUGGAUAAGCUCAUUCAGGAGGGACUAGAAGCAAUCAAUUCUCUUAGUGCUGAAGAGGCCUUCACCUUUAGAACUUUUAGGGAUAAUAAGCAGAAAGAAAUUCAAGAACGGAAUCAGCGUCCUAAGAUUGAUUAAUUCAUCAAUCACCAUUUUUCAUGUGUAAUUCCCGUUAUACCUUUCGAGUCAUAGGCUAUCUCGUUGCCUAUAUAAUAAAUAAAUUGUAGUCGUCUUCAUCGGCAUCAAUAUUUGAGUCUAUGUAAAAAAAAAUUGGUUUGCCAUCACCAAUUUUUUAUGUGUUUUUUCCUUUUCAAAGUUUCGAGUCUUAUUAGUCUUUCUAAUUGCCAAAAUAAUAAAUUCUAGUCAUUUCGUGUUCAUCAUCAGCAUCAAUGUUUGAAUCUAUUGUAAAACAAUUUGUCCCAAUUGUCAACAACUGAGACCGAUUGCAUUUUAUGCUUGAAUUGUUGUUAUUUUUUUUCUUUUUCCUUCUUUAUACUACUUGUUUGAAAUCAGAAAUUGAAUAUUGUAAAUGAAAGAGAGUUGUAGUGAAUACCUCAAAUUCUCCGAAACCACUACAUUUUACUGCUAUUUAUGUUGUUCAAUUGCUCAAAUCUAGGAAAAAAAAAAAACUCAUGAGUUUAUAAGCAAAACCGCAAAAGCAUCAACGACAUGAAUGAUAAUCAAACAACAGUCAAUAGAUGAUUAGAUCUUACGUUUGAUUACUUCUACCUUCUCUUCUUCUUCUUCUUUUUUGUCUGCAUUUCCAUUAAAAUCUGCAACUGUCUGAAUCUCCGGUCGUUGCGGCUGCGUGGUGGUGGUAGUGAUCGCCGGAGUUUUAGAUUAGGGUUACAGAAAACACAACAAUAAUCAUGGGCUGAUAAUUAGUU
rnacentral:lncRNA from 1 species